rnacentral:lncRNA from 1 species
GAAUUAUCUUUUAAAGACAGGGUCCUGAAAAAGGGACGUUUCUUUUUUUGCUGAGUUUAUGUCUGUCAUAUUGAGAUAUCUAGCUAUAAAUUAACCCGGAUUAAUCAAAUGGAUAGGUGUAAACAAUUAUGGUAACUCCAACUGCCCUUAACAAGGUGUUAGAUGGAGACAGACAGACAGACAGACAGACAGACAGACAGACAGACAGACAGACAGACAGACAGACAGACAGACAGACAGACAGACAGACAGACAGACAGACAGACAGACAGACAGACAGACAGACAGAGAAACACACACGGAGAGAGGAUGAAAGGAUGAAAGGGAGAGAGAGGUGGGAAGACGGAGAGAGAGAGAGAGAGAGAGAGAGAGAGAGAGAGAGAGAGAGAGAGAGAGAGAGAGAUGGGGAGAGAAACAGAGAGAGAAAUACAUUAUUGUUUGUAUUUCAACAACUCUUGGCUGCCAGCUUAUUCAAUCACAUGUACUUACGGGGGAAGGAUGGCCAGCCACACAGGAGGGUGAUUUUUACAAAGGAGGAAAAGGAGGCCGUUCUGAAUGAGAAGCAUGCUGGCCAUUUAGAAGUGAAAGGCAUGAUUGCCAAAAUCAAUCUACAUUUCUUCUGCCGUGGGAUUGUCAAGGAAGGAUGUGCAACUUAGUACCUGUCUAGCCUGCCAGAAGUUUGAGAAGAUGAAGACUGUGGCACCAGAGUUGAAGCCUAUCAAAGUUGUUUCACCAUGACACAUGAUUGGGGUAGACCUCACCGUACCCUUCACAAAAUCCAGGAAUGGCAACCGUUGGUGUCUGACAGCAACCGAUUACUUUACCAAGUGGGUGGAGGCAAUACCCAUUAAGGACAAGACUGGUGAGUCCACUUCCAAGGCAAUAAUGGACAUCUUCAACGCCAACAGUUCACCUGAGGUCAUCUGGAGUGACAGAGGUCGUGAACUCUGGAAAACAGUUUGGAUGAACGGACCAACCAGACCCUCAAGAUUGCCAUGGGCAAGUCCCUUGACGGGUUCCAGGAACAGUGGGAGAACAACCUGAAGGCAAUUCUCUUUGCACACAAUGGCAGUGUCCAGGCCGUGUUGCAAGCACAGCUUCAGAUGCAAUCGCUAGGCAAGGGCAAUUUAAGUGUAGGAAAGGAUGAAACAGCAUCUGUGCCACCAGCAUCAUGCAGUCAGAUGAUGGGCAGCAAAGAGCCAGAUGAAUGGAGCUGCUUUACAAGGAAUGGAGAAGGAACAAAAUAGCCAUUUGGAUAAAUCUGGAGAAAACACUGACAAACUUGACAUCUCAAGAUAUGAUGGAGAGCACUGAAGACGUGGGCGAUAAGAGGGCAACAGAGGAAGAAGAUCUGUAGAAUAUCUGUCAAUAGGCUGUGGCACAAGAGGAAGGAACAGUGGAUCAACCACCGUUGAAUUGUGACUCCACUUUAUCUCUAUACUGACACUUCGCUUGUUUGAUUGCCUUACGGCGGGAAUAACUACACUGUUUGUAUUCAGCCAUAUUUCCAGUCGCCUUGCCAUGAUUAAAUGCGGUGGUACAUGCUUUCAGUUUUGCACGAAUGCUGCCAUCAAUCCAC